rnacentral:rRNA from 1 species
AGAGUUUGAUCCUGGCUCAGGAUGACCUCUGGCGGCGUGCCUAACACAUGCAAGUCGAACGGAGCCUUAACCAAAGAAGCAGCCAGCUUGCUGGAAGCGGAAAAGGGAAAGGCUUAGUGGCGGACGGGUGAGUAACGCGUGGGUAACCUGGCCCAUACAGGGGGAUAACACUUAGAAAUAGGUGCUAAUACCGCAUAACAACAGAAAGCGCAUGCUUUUUGUUUGAAAACCAAGGUGGUAUGGGAUGGACCCGCGUCUGAUUAGCUGGUUGGCGGGGUAAAGGCCCACCAAGGCGACGAUCAGUAGCCGGCCUGAGAGGGUGGACGGCCACAUUGGGACUGAGACACGGCCCAAACUCCUACGGGAGGCAGCAGUGGGGAAUAUUGCACAAUGGGGGAAACCCUGAUGCAGCGACGCCGCGUGAGUGAAGAAGUAAUUCGUUAUGUAAAGCUCUAUCAGCAGGGAAGAAAAUGACGGUACCUGAGUAAGAAGCCCCGGCUAACUACGUGCCAGCAGCCGCGGUAAUACGUAGGGGGCAAGCGUUAUCCGGAUUUACUGGGUGUAAAGGGAGCGUAGACGGCAGUGCAAGUCUGGAGUGAAAGGCGGGGGCUCAACCCCCGGACUGCUCUGGAAACUGUACGGCUGGAGUGCAGGAGAGGUAAGUGGAAUUCCUAGUGUAGCGGUGAAAUGCGUAGAUAUUAGGAGGAACACCAGUGGCGAAGGCGGCUUACUGGACUGUAACUGACGUUGAGGGCCGAAAGCGUGGGGAGCAAACAGGAUUAGUUCCCCCUGGUAGUCCCACGCCCGUAAACGAUGAUCACUAGGAGUCGGGGAUUAAAGAACCUUCGGUGCCGCAACCAACGCAGUAAGUGAUCCACCUGGGGAGUACGUUCACAAGAAUGAAACUUAAAGGAAUUGACGGGGACCCGCACAAGCGGUGGAGCAUGUGGUUUAAUUCGAAGCAACGCGAAGAACCUUACCAGGCCUUGACAUCCCCCUGAAUGGGUGGUAAUGCAUCCAGCCCUUCGGGGCAGGGGAGACAGGUGGUGCAUGGUUGUCGUCAGCUCGUGUCGUGAGAUGUUGGGUUAAGUCCCGCAACGAGCGCAACCCCUAUCCUUAGUAGCCAGCGAGCAAGACGGGCACUCUAGGGAGACUGCCGGGGAUAACCCGGAGGAAGGUGGGGAUGACGUCAAAUCAUCAUGCCCCUUAUGGCCUGGGCUACACACGUGCUACAAUGGCGUAAACAAAGGGAAGCGAAGGCGUGAGCGUAAGCAAAACCCAAAAAUAACGUCCCAGUUCGGAUUGUAGUCUGCAACCCGAAUACAUGAAGCUGGAAUCGCUAGUAAUCGCGGAU